CAAGUAAUUGUAAGCAUGUGUUAAGUCAUCCUUUUGUUCUAUUUUCAGUUAAUUCUUCUGCUGCUUCGAUAUCUGCCAACAUCAAUAGCAUCCCUGUUCUUAACGGCACAAACUUUAAGGAAUGGAAAGAGAACAUAAUGAUCGUUCUCGGUAGCAUGGAUCUUGACCUUGCUCUUCGGAUUGAGCAACCUGCUUCUCUUGAGGAUAC
rnacentral:lncRNA from 1 species